GACGAACGCUGGCGGCGUGCUUAACACAUGCAAGUCGAACGGUGAAGCGCCUUCCUUUUUGGUGGGUGUGGAUGAGUGGCGAACGGGUGAGUAACACGUGAGUAACCUGCCCCCUUCUUCUGGAUAACCGCAUGAAAGUGUGGCUAAUACGGGAUAUUCUGGGUCUGUCGCAUGAUGGGUCUGGGAAGGAUAUUGUUUCGGUGGGGGAUGGUCUCGCGGCCUAUCAGGUUGUUGGUGGGGUGAUGGCCUACCAAGGCGGUGACGGGUAGCCGGCCUGAGAGGGUGGGCGGUCACAGUGGGACGGAGACACGGCGCAGACUCCUACGGGAGGCAGCAGUGGGGAAUAUUGCACAAUGGGCGCAAGCCUGAUGCAGCGACGCCGCGUGAGGGAUGGAGGCCUUCGGGUUGUGAACCUCUUUCGCCAGUGAAGCAGGCCUGCCUCGUUUGUGGGUGGGUUGACGGUAGCUGGAUAAGAAGCGCCGGCUAACUACGUG
rnacentral:rRNA from 1 species